rnacentral:piRNA from 1 species
UGCCUAUUCACAAAGUGACAAUUUAAGAGC